rnacentral:lncRNA from 1 species
GAGAUUCCCGAGUACUUGACCGGUGAAGUUCCUGGAGAGUAAGAUACGCUUUCGUUCACUCACAAAACAGCUUUCUAAUUCAUUGUUUCAACCAUGAAAUCCUGGUUUUGUUUCUAAUUUUCAAUCUUUCAUGGCUAUGCAGUUACGGGUAUGAUCCUUUUGGGCUCAGCAAGAAGCCAGAAGAUUUCAGCAAGUACGUUAAUAUUUAUAACUGAUAUAUAUAUAUAUAUAUAUAUUACACACACACACACAUAUGCAUAUAUAGACGCAGACAUAUAGACCACUAUACAUAUGUAUAUUAGUUUUUGUCUGUGUCAUCCUGGUGAAACAAUGGUGGUUUGAACGCAGAUACCAAGCAUACGAGUUGAUCCACGCGAGAUGGGCAAUGUUAGGUGCAGCCGGCUUCAUCAUCCCGGAAGCCUUCAACAAAUUUGGUGCCAACUGUGGGCCUGAAGCCGUUUGGUUCAAGGUUAGUCUUUUGCUUUACAUAAAUACUUUCAAUUUGGUUAAAUUCCCACACUAGAGCUAUAUAUUUCAAACAAAUUUAGAAUUUUUGUUGAAUAUAUGUAGAAUAAUACUUUUGAAAUUAUAUGUUAAAAUUUGAAUUUAUAUGAAAUUGCACGAGACUUUUUUUGUUUAAGUUCUAAAAUAAUUGGCUGUAAUCAAUUGUUUAAUAAAUUCUUACACGUCGAUUGAUAUCAGCUACUUAACUAGAAAUGAAAUGGGAAUUUAAUCAAACUGGCUGUUUGUUUCUUCUCUGUUCACAUGCAUUCAUUAUAUACAUAUGGAUAUGAAUAAAUAAUGCAGACUGGAGCUUUGCUGCUUGACGGCAACACAUUGAACUACUUCGGAAAGAACAUUCCCAUCAACCUGAUCGUUGCGGUCAUUGCUGAAAUCGUUCUUGUUGGCGGUGCUGAAUACUACAGAAUCAUCAAUGGCUUGGUAUGUAUAAUCUCAUUACAUAUAUAUAUAUAUAUAUAAUUUUCUGUGUUCUAAUUUCAUGAUUAGCAACUGAACCCAGAUAGAUCAAUUAAUUGAUUGUUUUGUGUUUGAAAUUCCAGGACUUGGAGGACAAGCUGCACCCAGGUGGUCCAUUUGACCCACUGGGAUUAGCCAAGGACCCAGACCAGGCUGCACUGCUCAAGGUGAAGGAAAUAAAAAAUGGCAGACUGGCAAUGUUCGCCAUGCUUGGUUUCUACUUCCAAGCCUACGUUACCGGAGAGGGUCCAGUGGAGAACCUUGCCAAACAUCUCAGCGAUCCCUUCGGCAACAACUUGCUCACUGUCCUCGCCGGAUCCGCCGAAAGAGCUCCAACCCUCUGAUUAAAAAACAUGAAUGAUCUAAUUCACUUUACUAGCGCCUGUAUCCUGGAUCCAAGAUACUCAAUCCUCUAAUGCAUUAAAAUUGUACAUCA